CAGCAAAGAAGAGAAGAAUCCCGAAACUCUUCUCCAUUUUUCACCCAAAUCUUACAAAUGCCAUAACUUCCUCGUUUCUCAACGAAAUUUAGCGAUUCUUGCAGCCACGGAACGAGGAAAUGAUUAUCUACAGAUCUAUGGAUUCAAUUUGAGGUGUUUAUAAGCUUGAAUUGGAGCAAAUUCAUGGUGAAUUUUGGAAGCUAAACUUUUGGUGAUGAAAGAUACCAAUCAAGAUCGGACGAGCGACUAUCGACAAGGUUUGAGGCAAAAGGAUCGAGAUAUCGUCAUAAUUAUUUGAAGAAUUUUGAUAGCAAGUGGUGAGUACACUUUAAAUUACUCGUGAAUAUUCAUAAAGCUACGUAUUUUAAUACGAAAAGCUAUAUGAAUAUUUAUAUAUUUGAAAUGUUUGUUUUUAAAAUGUAUACGUAUGAAUGCUUUGAAAAUGAUGUUUUAUCGUAAUGUGUUAUUUUGAUAAUAACAUAAAUGUUAAGGCACCGGGGAUGGGUAAAGUAAAAUGACAUGAAUCGAACCAAAUACAAAUAAGAAAAAUAUAGUACAUUCCUAUAUGUACUAUUAUUCAUAUAUUUAUAAAGAAACAUAGUACGUUCCUAUACGUACUUUUAAUUAUAAUGAAUACCCAUACGUGUGUGUGUUAUAGAUGUAUGCUUGUAGAUUGUAAUGUGCAUGUCAUGGUCCAUAAAGGAUCAAGAAAAC